rnacentral:rRNA from 1 species
CUCCUGGAAUGGAUCUUCGUUGAAAGGGUGUCUAGGGCAUGCUUCUAGGCGCUGCUCAAGGAUGGAGCCGCGGCCGAUCAGGUUGUUGGUGAGGUAACGGCUUACCAAGCCUUUAACCGGUACGGGCCGUGGGAGCGGUAGCCCGGAGAUGGGCACUGAGAUAAGGGCCCAGGCCCUACGGGGCGCAGCAGUCGCGCAAACUCCGCAAUACACGAAAGUGUGACGGGGCUAUCCCGAGUGCCGUCCGCUGAGGAUGGCUUUUCCACGUUGUAAGGAGGCGUGGGAAUAAGGAGAGGGCAAGACUGGUGUCAGCCGCCGCGGUAAUACCAGCUCUCCGAGUGGUGGGGACGCUUAUUGGGCCUAAAGCAUUCGUAGCCGGUUCGGCAAGUCCUCCGUUAAAUCCAGCGAUUCAAUCGUUGGACUGCGGGGGAUACUGCUGGGCUAGGGGGCGGGAGAGGCCGACGGUAUCCUCGGGGUAGGGGUGAAAUCCUAUAAUCCCGGGUAGACCACCAGUGGCGAAGGCUGUCGGCUAGAACGCGCCCGACGGUGAGGGAUGAAAGCUGGGGGAGCGAACCGGAUUAGAUACCCGGGUAGUCCCAGCCGUAAACGAUGCAGGCUAGGUGUCGGGGCGGCUACGACCCGCUUCGGUGCCGCAGGGAAACNGUUAAGCCUGCCGCCUGGGGAGUACGGCCGCAAGGCUGAACUUAAGGAAUUGGCGGG